CGCAUGCAGGUAGUGCAAGCCGGAGGCGGAGCGAGCUGCGGGCAUAGCCGAAGGGCAGGGUGUCUGCACAGCCCAGCGCUUCCAAUCACCUCCUCUCUCGGCCUGGAAACCACAGCUCCUUUCUGGAGCUAUUUGCUGAAAGCGCCCAGCACAACCCCUGAAACAACUGUGUAUAGAAGACUUAAGAAAGCUUCAUGCAGUAUUGCAGGCAAGGCACAUUUCCUCCACAGUUACUGGUCCUGUUGUUCCUCAUAUGUGAAGCUCUUUGCUCCUGGCCAGGUUCAAUGAGGGAAAGCAUGAAGGGGAUGCCAAGGUGUGGAAACAGGCAUAUAUGAAAGAUCUCUCACUUCUGAAAUGGUGAACAAGAGUAAGGAUUACCAUAACAGGAGAUGGAAGCUGGUGUCCUCACAUGAGGUUACUGCUGCCCUUGUACAACUACUAAUGGCAGCACUUCCAGAGCCAGAACGUGCCUCCCCCGCCCUCGGCACCUACAUUCUGCCUCCAGCCAUACAUCAGGUGGUUUUAAAAGAAAAUAAAAGCACUUUCCUCUGGUAAUCUCA
rnacentral:lncRNA from 1 species